UCCUACGGGAGGCAGCAGUGGGGGAUAUUGCACAAUGGGGGAAACCCUGAUGCAGCAACGCCGCGUGAAGGAAGAAGGUCUUCGGAUUGUAAACUUUUGUCUUGUGGGAAGAUAAUGACGGUACCACAGGAGGAAGCCCCGGCUAACUACGUGCCAGCAGCCGCGGUAAUACGUAGGGGGCAAGCGUUAUCCGGAUUUACUGGGUGUAAAGGGAGCGUAGACGGCAUAGCAAGUCUGAAGUGAAAGCCCGUGGCUCAACCGCGGAACUGCUUUGGAAACUGUUAAGCUGGAGUACUGGAGAGGCA
rnacentral:rRNA from 1 species